AUGGAGAAGCUGAGAACUUUAUACAUUGCUGCCUCUGGGGUGUUGGGAGCCCUGUUCCUGGCCAUUGGCCUCUGGACCUGGGGUGAGAAGGGCGUUCUCUCCAAUAUCUCGGUGCUGACAGAUCUGGGAGGCCUCGACCGGUGUGGCUCUUUGUAGUGGUUGGAGGCGUCAUGUAGGUGCUGGGCUUUGCCGGCUGCAUUGGGGCCCUCCGGGAGAACACCUUCCUGCUCAAGUUUUUCUCAGUGUUCCUCGGCCUCAUCUUCUUCCUGGAGCUAGCAACAGGGAUCCUGGCCUUCGUAUUCAAGGACUGGAUUCGAGACCAGCUCAAUUUCUUCAUCAACAACAACGUCAAGGCCUAUCGGGAUGACGUUGACCUCCAGAACCUCAUUGACUUUGCUCAGGAGUAUUGGUCUUGCUGCGGAGCCCGAGGGCCUAAUGACUGGAACCUCAAUAUCUAUUUCAACUGCACUGACUUGAACCUGAGCCAGGAGCGCUGCAGGGUGCCCUUCUCCUGCUGCGUCAGUGACCCUGCGGAAGAUGUCCUCAACACCCAGUGUGGCUAUGAUGUCCUGCUCAAACUGGAGCUGGAGCAGCAGGGCUCCAUCCACACCAAAGGCUGUGUGGGCCAGUCUGAGAAGUGGUUGCAGGACAACCUGAUCGUUGUGGCUGGGGUCUUUGUGGGUCUUUGUCUCCUCCAGAUCUUUGGUGUCUGCCUGGCCCAGAACCUUGUGAGUGACAUCAAGGCAGUGAAGGCCAACUGGAUCAAACAUGAAGAUGGCUACAAACUACUCAAAUAAACAAAACCUUGAAAACCACUGGCUUAUGCCCACCAUCUCAGAGGUUCUGUCGGCUGCAGGGCCUCAGCUGUGCUGUCUGCCUGGGGCCCCGGCCUGGACCCACCCUGCCAACUUGUUUUCUUGGCCUGGAUUGUGUAUACAUUGAGCCAACCUUUAAAACUUGGUAUAUUUCACGUAAAAGUCCAAAUCCCCAGCAUCUUGUGAAGAAUGGCUGGCUGGCCACAGCGGCUCUUCGGUGGCAUUGGCUCCUGGAAUGUGCGCUUCCCGUUCUCUGAGGGACCUACCUGGCCUGUUCUGCUCACUUAAGUGCCUUGCCUGCCUGACCCUGUAGGCUGGGAAUUGGCCUCCUCCAACUCUGCAAGGUUUUCCCCUGCAAAUGCUGCCAGGCUGCUAUGGGCCAAACCUGGAUCGAAGCCUGGGAGAGUGAAGAAUGGGGAGGCUGGAGCCUGCCCGGAAGAGGCCACAGCCUGGGAAGGUUCUGGUCCUCCUGGGGGCUAAGAUGGGUGCCACCGUGCCCAGGAGAGUGGCUGAUGCGUGGGAUGGAGAUCAGGAAGGUUUUGGGCAGGAGGAAGCUGGAAGCCUGAGCUUGGCACCCGUGGGGAUAGGGGGAACCAGGUUUGGGGGCCAUUGAUGGUUGACUCCUAGGCUCACUUGGAAUCUAGUUCAGUCUUCCCGGUGGCUUCCCGGUGGCCUGGAGAGUUGCCUCCUGGCCACUAGAGGGCGCGCUAGCACAGCUUUACCUGGAUCUGGCUUUCCUACGGCAACCCCACCCAGGUACAGCCCUGUGCCUGGUGUGUCCACCCUGCUUACUGGUUCUUUGGGUUUCAGGGAAUUUACAAACUUCUAAAGGAGCAAACUGGCUCAGAUUUGGGAAGUCUGGCUACUGUUCUCAGAUCUGCACAAAGGGGUAUGUGUGGAGUGAGCAUUUGUGGAUGAA